rnacentral:rRNA from 1 species
CGCGUAGGCGGCCUGUCAAGUCAACUGUGAAAUCUCCGGGCUUAACUCGGAACGGUCAGUUGAUACUGUCAGGCUAGAGUGCAGAAGGGGCAAUCGGAAUUCUUGGUGUAGCGGUGAAAUGCGUAGAUAUCAAGAGGAACACCUGAGGUGAAGACGGGUUGCUGGGCUGACACUGACGCUGAGGCGCGAAAGCCAGGGGAGCAAACG